UGAGGCGUAGUGCCUUCUUCCUGA
rnacentral:tRNA from 1 species